AUUGAACGCUGGCGGCAGGCCUAACACAUGCAAGUCGAACGAGUGGCGGACGGGUGAGUAAGGGCUGGGAAACUGCCCGAUGGAGGGGGAUAACUACUGGAAACGGUAGCUAAUACCGCAUACCACAGGAUGUGCCCAGAUGGGAGUAGCGAGCAGGUGGGGAAACGGCCAACCUAGGCGACGAUCCCUAGCUGGUCUGAGAGGAUGACCAGCCACACUGGAACUGAGACACGGUCCAGGCUCCUACGGGAGGCAGCAGUGGGGAAUAUUGGCCAAUGGGCGCAAGCCUGAUGCAGCCAUGCCGCGUGUGGGAAGAAGGCCUUCGGGUUGUAAAGUACUGUCAGCGAGGAGGCGUUACUCGCAGAAGAAGCACCGGCUAACUCCGUGCCAGCAGCCGCGGUAAUUC
rnacentral:rRNA from 1 species